rnacentral:rRNA from 1 species
GACGUAGGGCGCGAGCGUUGUCCGGAUUUAUUGGGCGUAAAGAGCUCGUAGGCGGCUUGUUGCGUCGGCUGUGAAAUCCCGUGGCUUAACUGCGGGCUUGCAGCUGAUACGGGCGGGCUGGAGUUCGGUAGGGGAGACUGGAAUUCCUGGUGUAGCGGUGAAAUGCGCAGAUAUCAGGAGGAACACCGGUGGCGAAGGCGGCUUCCUGGACCGACACUGACGCUGAGGCGCGAAAGCUAGGGGAGCAAACGGG